UGUCUCUUGGGGUGCUGUUUUGAACCAGACCGAAAUGGCUGAGAAUAGACCCUUGAACCUGAUCUGGAUAAUGCCAGCGUAGGAAUUA
rnacentral:ncRNA from 1 species